AUUGAACGCUGGCGGCAUGCCUUACACAUGCAAGUCGAACGGCAGCACGGGAGCAAUCCUGGUGGCGAGUGGCGAACGGGUGAGUAAUAUAUCGGAACGUGCCCAGUCGUGGGGGAUAACGUAGCGAAAGCUACGCUAAUACCGCAUACGAUCUAUGGAUGAAAGCGGGGGGAUCGCAAGACCUCGCGCGAUUGGAGCGGCCGAUAUCAGAUUAGGUAGUUGGUGAGGUAAAGGCUCACCAAGCCGACGAUCUGUAGCUGGUCUGAGAGGACGACCAGCCACACUGGGACUGAGACACGGCCCAGACUCCUACGGGAGGCAGCAGUGGGGAAUUUUUGGACAAUGGGCGCAAGCCUGAUCCAGCAAUGCCGCGUGCAGGAUGAAGGCC
rnacentral:rRNA from 1 species